rnacentral:rRNA from 1 species
UACGUAGGUGGCAAGCGUUGUUCGGAAUUAUUGGGCGUAAAGGGCGCGUAGGCGGUUUGUUAAGUCGGCUGUGAAAGCCUGGGGCUCAACCCCAGAGGGUCGGCCGAUACUGGCAAACUAGAGUACGGAAGAGGUAGCUGGAAUUCCCGGUGUAGCGGUGAAAUGCGUAGAGAUCGGGAGGAACAUCAGUGGCGAAGGCGGCCAUCUGGGACAACACUGACGCUGAGGCACGAAAGCGUGGGGAGUAAACAGG